GACAGAGAGGGGCAGAAAGAAGUUGAGAGUGAACGAGAGACUGGGAGACAGGGAGAGGUUGAGAGUGAUGGGGGGGAAGCAGAGAGCAGAGGUUUUUGUACAGCCUCUGCACUGGGAACUCUCACUGUGGGACACGUUCGGUAAAGGAACCAAGCUCAGACUGAGCCGUGAGAACUCUCAGCCCAAGCUGACCUUGCUGCCCCCCUCCCCGGAGCAGGUCAAUGCCAAGGGCACUGCCACCCUGGUGUGCCUUGCCAAUCACUUCUAUCCCGAUGAGCUGGAGGUGCAGUGGAAGAAGGACGGUGCAGUCAUUUCGGACGGGGUUCAGACCAGCAACUACCUGCGAGCUUCAGACAGCACCUACAGUGUCAGCAGCCUGCUGACCCUCUCUGGGUCUGACUGGGAGUCCGACGCUCGCUUCUCCUGUGCCCUCACCCACGUGACCCUCCCCUCUCCCCUCAGCAAGAGCAUCAGGAGAUCAGAAUGUGUGUAGAGUGUUGGAGACAGUCCACAGAGGAGACACAACUUUAAACAGAACAGGGCUGAGCUGGCAGGACAAAGGUCAUUGUCAGCACUGAAUUUCAACUCUCUUCCUUCUCAGGAUUGCUCAGAGAAACUUCUGAGGUUUGGAUAUUAAAGCAGGUCAUCGCGACAGUGUCAAGAGAGCUUUACACUGUGUCAAACCCCAUGCUGUCCUUGUCCUGGGAAUGUUUGAUGGGGACAGGAUUGCCUUGUUAUGUUAGCUGCACAAAACAAUGUGAACCUCAGAAGUCUCUGCUUCAGUAAACCAGAUCUCCUUCCUGCUCAGCUGCCAGUUCCAGUUUAAGGUUUUGUCACUGUUUAAAGGGGCAGGAUUCUCGUGUUAUUGAGAAAAUCUCUCCAAGUGUUUUCCUCAAGCUCCAUUGGGGCUAUGA